CCUACGGGGGGGCUGCAGUGAGGAAUAUUGGGCAAUGGGCGGAAGCCUGACCCAGCAACGCCGCGUGGAGGAAGACGGCCUUCGGGUUGUAAACUCCUUUUACGGGGGAAGAGGAAGGACGGUACCCCGAGAAUAAGUCACGGCUAACUACGUGCCAGCAGCCGCGGUAAUACGUCGGUGACAAGCGUUAUCCGGAAUUCAUGGGCGUAAAGCGCACGCAGGCGGCGCAUUAAGUCUGACGUGAAAUCUCUCGGCUUAACCGGGAGGGGUCGUUGGAGACUGGGUGGCUCGAGGCG
rnacentral:rRNA from 1 species